CUCACUUCAGCAAGAUACAUUUUAAAAUUGGAAUGAUAUAGAGAAGAUUAGCAUGGCCUUUGUGCUAAGAUGGUACACAGAUUCAUAAAAUGUUCCAAAUUUAA